GAGAGAGAGAGAGAGAGAGAGGGAGAGAUGUAACUACUGUCUACCAGGUCUCUCAUUAUCAUCUUCAUGUUCAGCAAUUACAUUGGAAUCAGAAAGACCAUGCUCUGGUCUAUUUUGGAAUGAAUCCUCAUCAUACUCGGUACCAUCAGAAUCUUCAUCACUGCUCCAUUUCCUCUUCAUGAUUCUGGGAACCAAGCGAGUAACUUCUUUGGCCUCCAUCAUUACGUCAUCAUUGUUUAUCCGUUCAAAUCGAACAGCACUCACUUUUCUGGCAUUUCCAGCUAAUAUCUCAAGUUUAUAUACAUGAUGUUUUUCAUUCUGAUCUUGUCGCUCAGACUUGCCUUCAGUCUGUUCAUCAUCCUCUUCUUGAUUUUCCUUCUCGAGGAUCACUUUGAUGCUCUCACCAGUCCUUGGGAUGUAUCCAAAUGCCUCACAUAUAAAACCUGACACUGUCUCAUAUUGAUGACCCUCUGGCAUUUUGAUAUUUAGGUCUUCAGAGAGUUGAUCGAUAGUUGUAUUAGCAUCAACAUCAUAUAUUCCCUCUGCUCGCAUUACAAUGUAGCCAGUUUUCUUCUGUAUCUCUUCUUUUGAAUCAUUUUCAUCGAAGAUUUCACCAACAAUCUCCUCAACAACAUCUUCAAGGGUUACUAUUCCAAUAGUUCCACCAUAUUCAUUAAGAACAACUGCCAUGUGAACCUUCCUGAUGCGGAACUCUCUAAGAAGAUUCCAGACUGACAUUGAAUCAGGCACAAAGUAUGCAGGUUUGUGAGCCAUGUCUCCUACAGUUGUACUUUCUAGUAGCUCACCCUUCCGAACAUAAUCUAGCAGAUCCAUUGCAUAUGCAAUACCCAUAAUAUUGUCCACUCGCUGCUCAAAAACAGGAACCCUUGAAUAUUGAUGGGUCACCCACAACUCAUGAAAAUCAACAAGAGUUGCACUGGCAUCAAUUGCGACUACAUCAACAAGAGGUGUCAUGACCUCUCUAACAUGUGUAUCCUUGAUCUCUAGCACAUUUUCAAUCAUAUCCUGUUCUUCUUCCUCUAUUGCCCCACUCAAUUCUGCCCCACGCAACAUCAACUUCAAUUCUUCUUCAGUAACAUAUGGUUCACUUCUUCCUUUUAAACCAAGUAACUUUAGCAUUCCCAUCGACAAGUAGGUGACGACUCUUCCCACAGGAUACAACACCAGGGAAAGCCAUGCCACUGGCCUGACCACAAACCUAGCAACCUCUGCGGCAUUGUGAACAGCUAUACUUUUCGGAGUGAUCUCAGUGAGGAGUAAUAUUGCAACAGUCAUUACUCCAGUGGCUGCACUAACACCAGCUUCACCAAAUAUUGCUGUGGCUGCAUCUGUGACUAAUGCAGUUGCCCCAAUAUUGACCACAGUCGUGCCAAUAAGAAUAGUUGUCAGAAACCGAGUAACAUCACUACGGAGCAUUUUGAAGACACCAUCAUCAGGCUCUUUUUCAGCCAGCUCACGGACCUUCCAUGGCCACAACGUGGUUAUGGAAGUCUCAGCCAUAGAAAAAAAAAGCUGACAAACCCAGAAGUGCAGCCAAUACCAAACCCUGCUCCUUGAAA
rnacentral:misc_RNA from 1 species